rnacentral:lncRNA from 1 species
CCGCCCUCCCCUUCCCGCCAAGUAUCAUCACAAACCCUACUCCCGUUGCAUGCUGGGAUUGUAGUCCCGAAGCCCUGCGAACAAAGGCCAAAAGCAGUUAAGAAACUACUUCUCCCAGCAUGCCUCCCUCCAGGUGUCCUUACCAACCCCACUCCCGUUGCAUGCUGGGAUUGUAGUCCCGCAGCCCUGCGACCAACGGCCGAGAGCGGCUAAGACACUACUCUUGCCAGCAUGUCCUGCAGUAGGGCACCGCGCUAUGUCUCCCUCCAGGGAUCUGCACCACCUACAAUCCCGUUUCACGCUGGGACUGUAGUCCUGCAAGCCUACAACUAACAGCUGGGUGCGGAUAAGGGACUACAGUUCCCCUCAUUCCCAGCAAAGGUCCCGCCGCCACCGAGCUCCUCCAGGAUUCCAGUGCAGUUCCGCCGUGCGGAGGGAAGCUUGGCUGUUCACAAACCUCUCCUGCCCUCGAGGAGACAGCUUGGCAGGAGCGGCCGAUCUCACCUUGUCAUUGUGACACGGUGUCUCCCCAAAGUGCCGACUUCAUGACUUGUUGUGCCCAAAGUUUAAUUUCCCACAGAACAGGUAGAGGCCAAGAGCUUCUCGCAGCCUCAGCCGCAGGGUUGCCAUGAUGCACCUACUGGACCCCGGGCUGGCUGUAUGGCCCGCGUCUGGGUCAGGCCUCGCACGCAGACGCUCCUGCCACCGUGAUGAAGAGGAGAAAAUGUCCCAGGGGAAAGGCCUGACCUUGCUGCAUUCAGUCAGGAAACAGCCAUGGGGAAGGGACCCCCUUAAACUACUUUGGGAGCCACAUCCACCACUUCUCUGCCCCCUACCCAGGCUGGUUCCCAGGCCUUGGGGUCCUAGUGUGGACCUCCCUGCCGUAAUUAACGCAGGUGCAGGACCAGAGAGCGCCUUGGUCCCUCCGAACACAUGAGGAAAGUUUGUGUGGUGAGGUUUGGACAGUGUCUGUGUUUCUGCCCUGAAUAGGGUUCCCUAGAAAAUCUUUAUCCAUUUUUAAAUACUCUCUUUGGUACCACUUUUAAGACUUUGCCGGUGGAAAUUAACAGUGAUCAUUUUUUUGAAUCCAUUUUUCUAUUUGCUUUUUAAGAUUAACUCUUAAGUACUCCACAGCUACACGCUUCUGAAACUGGCGGAGGCACAGCGUCAGUUCUGUACAGGGCGGACGCAGCAGGACAGAAUCUCCCUGGGCAUCUUUCUGGAGCAUCAAAUUUACUGCAAGAUUUUAAAGAAACAAAUUUAGUUGAUUUCCAAGGUAAGAAAUUAAACCUUGAAAACUAGACUAAAAAGUCAUCUGCGCCUGACGUAUCGGACUUUCUGCAGGAAGAAAACUCUAAGGAGAGCAUAUUGUCCAUUAUUAUAAAUAGUGAAAAUGAGAAAUCAUAACAAGUCCCUUGAAAACCCUGCCCUGCCAGCCUUCUAAUAGGGCCUUGGUGUGGUUUUAUGUGGAUUUUCUUUUUGAAGUGUGCUCACCUUUUGAAUAUACAAAUUUGGGGGUUUGACUAAAUUUUGCAAGUUUUCGGCUAUUGUGUGUUUGCUUUUGUAUCAUAUUUAAUUUUUCUGUCCUCUCUCUCCUCAGACUCAGUCAUUCCACAGGUCUCUAAGGCACUUUUCAUUUUCUUCAAACUUGUUUCACUCUUCAGAUUGGAUAAUUUCUAUUGCUGUCUUCUGUUUCUACUCUGUUUAUAAACUCAACAGUCUUUUUAGUUUUUCGUUUCAUUAUCUCUCUAUUCCAUUCUUUUUAUCAUUUCCAUUUCUCUGCUGAGGCUCCACGUGAGUUAAUUCAUUAUGAGGAUAUUUUCUUUUAUCCCCAUGAACAUACUUAUAAUAGCUGCUCUCAAACCCUUGUCUGCUGAUGACAUCGUCUUGGACAUCUUAGAAUUAGCUUCUGCUGCCUGCUUUUUAUCUUGCGUAUAGAUUACAUUUUAACAUUUCUUCACACAUUUCAUGAAUUUUGAUAUUGUGUACUAGAAAUUAUAAGUAGUAGUUAUAGAGACUCUAAAUUCUGUUGUAUUCCUUUGAAGAGGAUUGUUAUUUGAAGAGGGGUUAAUCUGAUUAGAUUCAAACAGCAAUACCUACCUCACCUACAGUGGACACAGUUGAAAUCCUCAUUCUGUUACCGCACACACAUACAUGUAUUAUAUAUGGUUGUGCAUUCCUAUGUAACUGUACCUAAUAUUUUAUCCAGAUUUUAUCAUUGUUACCUGUGAGAGUGUUUAACAAGCAACUCUAGCAUUACUGAAAGUCAGAACCUCACUUUUGUUUGCUUAUUGGAUUUGAACACGUAAUACCUUUGUUUUCUUUUGUAACAUUUUUCAAUUUGAAGUCUUAUUUGGUCUGAUAUUAAUAUAGCCAACGCAGAUCUCUUUUGCUUAUUAUUUGCUUGAAGUACUGUUUUUCUCUUUUCACUUUCAACCUAGUUGUGUCUUUCAAUCUAAUGUGAGUCUUGCACAAACAUGAUAGUUGAUCAUGUUUUUGUUGUUGUUGUUGUUGUUGUUGUUGUUGUUUUUUGAGACGGAGUCUGGCUCUGUAGCCCAGGCUGGAGUGCAGUGGCCGGAUCUCAGCUCACUGCAAGCUCCGCCUCCCGGGUUCCCGCCAUUCUCCUGUCUCAGCCUCCGGAGUAGCUGGGACUACAGGCGCCCGCCACCUCGCCCGGCUAGUUUUUUGUAUUUUUUAGUAGAGACGGGGUUUCACCAUGUUAGCCAGGAUGGUCUCGAUCUCCUGACCUCGUGAUCCACCCGUCUCGGCCUUCCAAAGUGCUGGGAUUACAGGCUUGAGCCACCGCGCCCGGCCGGAUCAUGUUUUUUAGUCUGUUCUGCUGAUCUCUGCCUUUUAAUUCGAUAGUUCAAUCCAUUUACAUUUAGAAGAAUUAUUCAUAAGUAGACUUCUGUCAUUUUGUUAUUUGUUUUCUGUAUACUUUGUCUUUUUGUUUAACAUUUUCUACAUUAUUUUCUUCUAAUGUAUUGGGUUGAUUUUUUUUAGUAAAAUAUUUUAACUUUUUAUUUUCCUUUGUGUAUAUUCUAUAGCUUCUUUUUGUGAUUACCAUUAUGGUGACAUUUAACAUCUGAAUUUAUUUAUUUUAAUUGCUGCAUAGUAGUAUAUUCAAUUAUAUGAACAUAGUAUAAUUUUUAAAUCUAUUCUACUUUUGAUAGUCAUCAUUGGGAUAUUUAAUAUGCUUUUUUUUUAGGUGAGUAUUGAGUUUACAUAAACAUUGAGCGGAACUUACAGAGUUCCCAUAUAUCCUCUCCCUACACCCAGCUUCUCCUCUAUUAUUAACACCUUACAUUAGUGUAGCAUAUUUGUUACUCUUAAUGAACUAAUAUAGAAGAGUUAUUAUUAACUAAAAUCUAAAGUUUUCAUUGAAAUUCAUGUUUUCUGUUUUACAUUCUGUGGAUUUUGACAAAUGCAUAAUGACAUGACACGUAUCCAUUAUUGCAUUAUACAAAAUAGUUUUAUUGUCUUAAAAUAUCCACUGUACCCCAUCUAUUCAUCUCACCCCUUUUUCCCCCAAACUUUUAGAAAGCACAGAUCUUCUUACUGUGUCCAAGGUUUUGCCUUUUACAAAAUGUCAUACGGUUGGAAUCCUGUAGUAUGUAGCCUUUUCAGACUGUCUUCUUUCACAGCCGUAUGUAUUUAAGGUUCCUCAUGUCUUUUCAAGCCUUGAAAUCUCAUUUUUUAAAAAUCAGUGAAUAAUGUUGUAUGGUUGCACCACAACUAGUUUAUUUAUUUACCUAUUGAAGAACAUUAUUUACCUAUUAAGAACAUUAUUUACCUAUUGAAGACCAUCUUGUUUUGUUCCAUGUUUUGGCAAUUAUGUAUAAAACUGCUCUAAACAGUCACCUGCAGAGUUUUGUGCAGAUGAAAGUUUUCACCUCUUGGAUUAAGGCCAAAGAGUGUGAUUGCUGGAUUGUGUGUAAGUGUAUAUUUAGCUCUGUAAGAAACUGGCAAACUGUCUUCCAAACUAGUCAUAAACUUUGCAUUUUCACCAACAAUAAAUGAGAGCUCUUGUUACUCUAUAUCCUCACCAGCAUUUAGUGUAGCCGCUGUUUUGGAUUUUAGCCAUUCUAAUAUGUGUGUGGCAGUAUGCCGUUGUUCUUUUCAAUUUCUCAAUGAUAUAUGCUGUUGAGCAUAUUUUCAUGUGCUUAUUUGCCAUGCUUAUAUGUUCUUUAGUAAGGAUCUGUAUCAUUUGCCAUUUUAUAAUUGGGUUGUUCAUUUCUUAUUCUUGAGUUUUAAGAACUCUGGGAUUUUUUUGCAUAUUUUUGAUACCAGUCUUUUAUCAGUUAUGUGUUUGGCAAAUAUUUUCUCCCAUUCUGCGGCUUGUCUUUUUAUUUUUUAGCAGUGUCUUUGGCAGUGCAGAAAUGUUAUUUUUAAUAUGGCAAUAUUAAAUACAACUAAGCUACUGGGUGAGCUCUAUCAAUGUGUUUUGAGGCAAUCUUGACGUUAAGGACUCACGCUAUCACAUAUUCAGCAGCUUAGACUAAAGGGAGGAAAGCAAGGUGCUUGAGAGGGCUCUCUUGCAAGUUCACUUAUGUGUUAGGUCAAGUGCUUGGCUCUGGGAUGGCAGGGGACAUGGAGCAUGACAACUGCAAUUCUGUCUCCAGAUGGGAAAGUAGAAGGGAGGAUUUCUUCCCAACCUUCAAAUUCUUCCAAGAGAGAAUGCUGAUUUGGAAUCUUGUCUUUCUUUACCAUUUAUUUCAGAAAGGUUGGAUCUCUAGGAAGUGUGGGUCAUGCUCUUAGUUUUCUGGGUUGUUUUUUUUUUUUUUUUUUUUGAGACGGAGUCUCGCUCUGUCACCCAGGCUGGAGUGCAGUGGCCGGAUCUCAGCUCACUGCAAGCUCUGCCUCCUGGGUUCACGCCAUUCUCCUGCCUCAGCCUCCCGAGUAGCUGGGACUAUAGGCGCCCACCACCUCGCCCGGCUAGUUUUUUGUAUUUUUUAGUAGAGACGGGGUUUCACCGUGUUAGCCAGGAUGGUCUCGAUCUCCUGACCUCGUGAUCCGCCCAUCUCAGCCUCCCAAAGUGCUGGGAUUACAGGCGUGAGCCACCGCGCCCGGCCAAUUUUCUGGGUAUUGUCUUUUGUACAUAUCACAUGCAGUUGGUGCUACUGAUGGGGCCUGGACACUACCUAGCUCUGCUGAGCUCCUAGCUCAAUGUACUAGACCAUUGUAUUGUAUUGUAUUGUAUUUUUUGUUUCCAGCAUUUUCUUUUCAAAGCUGGUGAAUCCCAGGUUAUGCAAACUUUCAUUUAACAACAUUCACAUAAUCCCUAAAUUCAGCAUGGUUUAGAACUUGUUAGGUCCGUUUGCUAUAUACAAAUGCCAUGCCUCCAGUUGGUACUGAGGAAUGGUUCCCCACUCCUGGUUUAAAGGCAUUAACACUGAGAAUGGUGGAAAGAGAGCGUAUUUCCCAACACUGCUUUGCAACAUCUAAAUCUUUCAUAGUGGCCUAAUCCACUCAUUGCAUGUUGGUUCUCAGUGUGGGGACAAUGAGGGCAUUACUGAUUUUAGACUUGUUUUCAUCAACUAGCUCAUCUGUGUGGAGUUGAGUUUAGAAAAAAAACAAAACAAAACAAAACAAAACAUAAAAGUUAAUGCAGCAUGUGACACCCUCUGUGGAGGAUACAUUGAAAAUACAUCUUGGCUGGGCGUGGUG